UAUUACUCUCACCACCAGCAUGUGACAGAGCACAGACUUGAAACCUGGGUUGCUUGAUGCCCUAGCUGGUCUUAACCUUCGUGUUACCAGUAGCAUAAUAAGAAAAGGAAACCACAUGAGCAAAGAAGUUGAGUGAGAGAUGGUACUGAACACAGAAGGGGCUACAGAAGAAGUUCCACUGGUAACUAAGUAGGAGUAGAGACUAGAGAGGACAGGGGGCUGUGGAGGAUCUUGUAAGCCAUAAACAGGACUUGGUGUGGUCCUGAGGGUGUGGGGCCUGCCCCCUCCCAUCUAGAGACUUUGUAUAGAGCAUAAUUGGGUCUCUCUGGCUGCAGGCAGGAAGAUGGAUGGAAUGGAGAGGGAGAGUGGAGGUUUGGGUGCAGUCUGCUUUGGAUCUUGCUUCUCAAUGUAUUUCUCCAUGUGCACACAGAGAAACUGAUUCCUGCUGUAAGACACACCAGAUAGUAAAGGAGGGGGUUGUAUUCAACUACAGGCAACCACCCUGAGACUCCAGCCAUCUGAAGUCCUGCACAGACACGAGUAGGGGUGAGGAAUUCCAGGCAACAUGUACCCCAGUUAUGACAUGCUUAGACUCGAUAGAUGAG
rnacentral:lncRNA from 1 species